rnacentral:lncRNA from 1 species
AUGCUGCUUCCUGGGUCCCUCAGUUCAGGCUCUCUCUGCAAUCAAGAGGACAGUCUGAAAGGCAUGCUGGGACAGCUGAAGAGUGUGGUGGAAAGUAUAGCGCAGGGGCAGACACUACAGGAGCUGAAGAAGCCCAUUGUAGGAGAAGAGAGCACGCAGUGUGAGAAGACGAGCUGGAUACAGGAGCUGCGUGAUCAGAAUGAACGGCUUCUAGAAGAGAUUGCUGAACUCAGACUGAAAGCAGACAGCAGGCUGGAUGAAGAGAUUGUCCAGCGGGCUAUAAAGGACAGAGACGAUGCAAUAGCGAAGUACGUAUCAGACUCACACUCUGACAUGGCAGACCAAAGGCAGUCUGUUUAUUUAAGCAGAUAGAAGCCUGAUCUACUGUAUAAAACAUUAAAACUCCUUGGCACUGAGUGCUUUAUUGGGUUAAGA